UUUUUUUUUUUGUAUUUUCAGGGCCAUACCUGUGGCAUAUGCAAGUUUCUGGACUAGGGGUCAAAUCAGAGCUGUAGCUGCUGGCCUAUACCAUAGCCACAGCAAUGUUGGAUCCAAGCAGCAUCUACUGCAAUCUAUAUCAUAAGCUGUGGCACGCUGGAUCCUUAACUCACUAAUCAAAGCCAGGGAUUGAACCUGAAUCCUCAAAGACACCAUGUCGGGUUUUUAUCCCACUGAGACACAAUGGGAACUCCUAAGGUUGAACUUUUAAAUAUACAUACAGAGGAGUUCCUGUCAUGGCUCAGCAUAAUGAACCCAACGGGAUCCAUGAGGAUGCAGAUUCCAUCCCUGGUCUCGUUCAGUGAGUUAAGGAUCCGGCAUUGCCAUGAGCUAUAGUGUAGGUCACAGGUACGGCUCAGAUCUUACGCUGCUGUGGCAAAGGCCAGCAACUGUUCCUCUGAAUCAACCCCCACCCUGGGAACUUCCAUGUGCUUCCAUAUGUCAUGAGUGUGGCCCUAAAAAGCAAUACACACAAACAUACACACACAUAUGUAGGUAUAUAUUAUAUAUAAUUUUUGUGUCUAUAUAUAGAUUCAUUUAUAUAUUUAUUACUUCCCUGCCAAAAUAAAAGUACUUUAUUUUAUUUUAAUUAUUUAUUUGUUCCUUCAAUGUUACCCAUCUUUGUUUUCACUAGACUAUGUAUUGUAAUACAUUUACCUGAAGUAAAUUAUCCUUCUUGUGUAUUGUUCAGAUAUGAUUUCUAUUCGAGUAUAAUACUAUUCCUGAAAAUUUUAUCCCAAGGUGAAACAUGGAAUUCCAUAAUAUUAGAAUAAAUCAUUUUUUGGUAUUCAUUCCAUAAAUGUAUAAUCAUGGUUUAUAUAACUAUUUACUACUUUGUAAAGUGAAUUUGAAGACAUGCAUAGAAUGAUACCAAAUACUUAUAAUUAUGAAGUAAUAUUUUUAAGAGUAUAUUUCAAUUCUAUCUUAAAUUUUCUUCCUAACUUAUCUUUGUUCUUAUUACAUAACAUAUAAGUAUGCAAAAUAAGCAUUGAUCUGGGUAAUUUCAGCCUCUGUAUAUUCUCUAAACAGUGAUGUGUUCCCCUAAAUAAACACAUCAAGAGGGAGCCUUACAUUAUUGGACAGUUUUUAAGGAAUUCAAUAAAAGAUACCACUCUGUUUCAGGAUUUAUUGUUUGUAGUAUAACUAUUAUUUUAAAACCUCAUCUCAUAUAUGGGUAUUGGUGUUAUGAUAUUUAUGAAACAGCAAGAAAUGUCCACAGAUCCUUAUCUGCACUAGACACCCUCCAGCCAAAACAUCAGAGGUGAACAUCUUGUCAUCUCACUUCCAAAAAAAACACUCCUUCCAGAGCCCUUGUUUACAUUUCCCACUAAACUUGAAACUCAGCCUUUGCACUUCCAGAGAGGAGACCAUGGUAACCACACACUGACUGACAAGACAGAGUCAUUUAACAAAGCCAGAUCAGCAGCAUGGAAGUGAGCGCCUUUGCAACUCAUGAACCAGAAUGCCAGCCACAUGUCCAAGCAGUUAACUCAAGUUGAAGUAGCUCUGAGCUAAGCUGGGUGUGAAUGGAAAUGUGUGUUACAUGGAACAGUGAAAGGCUAGUUGUGGAUUACAAGAAUACAACCAUGAAAUAUGAACACCCACAAGCACACAGAGCUAGCAAUUAUUAGACAUAUUAGGAUUAACAGACCUUUCUUCCAAGAAACAAUUUCAGCAAAUUUUUGACCCAGGAAGGAACUUUUUCCUACCAACUCAAAGCCAAGUCAUUAUAGCUCAAAGUUUGCCAUAACAAUUUUUAUCACUUAUUUUAUCUUCUUAAUUACAUGCCACAUAUCGUUUUACAUUUGAUUAAUAAAUUUUCAUCUUUAAAGUAUGUGACAUUGCUAUUGGGUUUGAAUAGCCUUUAAUAACUUUAAAAACCUGAACAAUAUCCAUGUUUUGAGACUGGGUCAUUUCCACACCUAGAUGAGAAUGAAGAUAUUUUGGCAAUCAAGCUAGCCCCUUAGUAAUAGGCUUAAAAGUCCACUGAAGACCCCAAAGGAUUUUUAACUUAAUAAGUACUACCACUCAAGUCCUCCUACUUAGGGACUCAGAAAAAAGAAAAAAAAAAUUUCAACUAAACAAAACUUUAUUCAAUUUACAAGACACCUAGAAUAUUUAGCUCUAUAGUUUAUUCUAGUUUCCAACACUUUUUUUAAGUUUGCUACUUUUGAAUCUCUGAAGCAUUGAAAUAUAUCAGGACAAUCAUUCAAGACAGAACUAUGCAACUACUCUUGUUUUCCAUUAGACAGAUAAUAAUGCUAUUACUUUAGAUUUUUAAUUCUGUAACAGGUUUAAAUAAAACUAAUUAUUCCAUUAUAAAUUCAUGCAUAUGGUUAGUUAAAAAUAAAGACAUUUGAUUCCUUUAAGCAUAAAAAAAAAAUCUAUAGUAUUUCAAAUCAAGGGGAAAUUGGAUACCAUGAUACAUAAUUCAGGCAUGUGGAUUUUGUCAAAGAAGAAAUUAUAUAUCAAUAUCCAAUAGAAUUUUGAGACCUGACUGUUCAAAUUAAAUUGAUUGGUGCAAAUGAGGCCUAGCGGAUUCUUAAAAGGUCUGGUGUGAAACAGAUUUCACAGGCUAUUAAGAUCCUUGGUAGUAUCUACAUAAAAAUGCUACACUAUGGGUUCUAAGGUAACCCAGCCACUCAGCAAGCUGUUAAAUCAGAUACAGAGUACUACCUGAGGAUAUGAAAUGCUUGUGUUACCUUUAUCUUUCAAAGUAAUAAUGGGAUUAUUUUAAUUUCUGGGCUCAUUAAAACAUACUUAUUCAUUUCAGAGAUUCUAUUAGGUGAUCCAGAGCAUAUGACAAGUUGAAGGAAUUAGUUUAGGAAAAAUUUAAGAAUUCACUUUUCUUUUUGAGGUAAUUUUUAAAAGCUGCCCUAGAUAGUUAUUUAAUCUCUGCAGGCUAUCUUCUAGUUUCACUUCUUGGAUAAAAAAAUCCCAGAAUUGCAAUAUGUCCAUCUCCACAUAACAACAUAAAGAGAUUUAUUAAGAGAAACAGAAGAACUCCAGACUUGAAUCUCCACAUGCUUACUCAAACAACCCCACUUGAAUGCCUAAUAGACACAUUGAAAUGAAUACAGCCAGAAUUAAGUGAUCCUCAUUCCAAAUGCUCCUCUAAGAAUCUUCUUUCAGCAUGUGGUGACUUGAUUCCAUCAUUUUCUUGGAUCAAAAACCUCACAAUUGGAAUUCCCACUGUGGCUCAGCUGUAAUGAACCCAACUAAUAUCCAUGAGGAUAUGGGUUUGAUCCCUGGCCUCGCUCAAUGGGUUAAGAAUCUGGCUUUGCCAUGAGCUGUGGUGUAGUUUGCAGACUCAGCUCUGAUCCAGCAUUGCUGUGGCUGUGGUGUAUGUUGGCAGCUGCAGCUCUGAUUUGACCUCUAGCCUGGGAACUUUCAGGUGCGGCCCUAAAAAGCAAAACCAAACAAAAAUCCCAAAAGAUCUCACAAUUAUCCAUUUCUCAUUCAUAUCUCACAUAAUGUCAUCAGUCAACCCCACUAGCUCUACCUGCAACAUAUAUCAGUAAUUUGACAAAUUUUUACUGCUUUUAAAGGUAUCUGUGUCCAAGGGCAAUGGUUUUCC
rnacentral:lncRNA from 1 species